CUAAAAACUUGUAUCUUGUACAACUCGUGUGAUCUGUCGUAUGUAACCUGUGUAAUACAGAAGUUGGAGACAGUGCCAGCUGGAUAUGAUGGCGUGCAGGUUGGCGUUUUGUCUGAUGCAAUGUGCGCACGUGCUCGCAGUUCUCAUCAGUGUAGUGUCUGCCCAGUCCUGUGCACCUCAAUGCCGAUGUGAAGGUACCACCAUGGACUGCAGCCACGGAGCUCGUCCAGCGUUCCCAACAGAUCUACUCAUACCGUCGUCAACAAAAAUCUUAUUGAUGAACGACAAUCUGAUGACAAGAGUUAAUCCAACUCCAGCCUUUCCAAACCUGCUGGAACUGAACCUGGAAGAUAACUUCAUCACUGAACUGACACCGACUUCUUUCCGAUUGCGACCAAAUAUCCAGAUACUUCGUCUUGGAGGCAAUAAGAUCAUUGAUGUCUCCAAUUCUGCUUUCGAUGGACUAUCCCAACUCGUGAAACUGUAUCUGAAUCGUAACAACAUCGAAACGAUAGAAGCGUUUG